rnacentral:lncRNA from 1 species
CAUUAUUUGGAUAAAAAAAAACACAGAAGAAACAGAGUUUGUAACCAUAGUUGUUGAAGUUGAAGAAAAGGUUUAAUUUUCCAUGUUCAAUAAUUCAGUCAUUUCCCAGAAACACAUGCAUGUGUCCAAAAGGCUCAGAUCUGCAAAGAGAUCGGAACAAAGAGAGAGACGACCACGCCAUGGCUGCAAAAUUUGCCAAGCCAAGAUACGAGUCGCAUAAUCUCCAAGCCCGAUCCGGUUAGCCCAUCAUCAUCAUCAUCACAGCCUCAAUAGAUCAAACACCAACAAAGAGUGAGUAAUUAAUUAACAAAAAAGAGAAUGGCAUAGAUGUAGAAUUGGAAAGUUGAGGAAUAUAUGUAUGUUUGUUGUAUGUAUGUAUGUAUGGCAUGCAUGUUCCAAUAAUUCCCAGGAAAUUAACAUGAAUUCAAGGGUUGUUGCUUCAUCUCUAAAAGAAUCAUUCAUAGGCUAAACAAGAGAGGGGCAACCACCCUUGUUAAUAAAAUCCAAAAACUCUCUGUUUUGCCUCUUUUUUCUUUUCUGGGCUAACCUUUUCUUUGCUUCUUUUCCACCUUUAACUUUUGCCUUUUUUAUAACCCACUCUUGAAUAAAUUUAUCAUUUUUCUGUAUGUCUAAUGGAUAAUACUUUAUUUGAAAAUGUAAAAGCACAAACAACUUGUCAUUCUUAUCCAUUUCUCCUUGAAACAGAAUU